AGAGUUUGAUCCUGGCUCAGGAUGAACGCUGGCGGCGUGCCUAACACAUGCAAGUCGAACGAACCUAAUCUUCGGAAAGGGUUAGUGGCGCACGGGUGAGUAACACGUAGGUGACCUGCCCUGGAUUGGGGGAUAACUUCUCGAAAGAGAGGCUAAUACCGCAUAUGCUCGGCCAUUCAGUUGGUCGAGUAAAGCUCCGGCGCUCCAGGAGGGGCCCGCGUCCGAUUAGCUAGUUGGUGGGGUAAUGGCUCACCAAGGCUAUGAUCGGUAGCUGGUCUGAGAGGACGAUCAGCCACACGGGAACUGAGAAACCGGUCCCGACUCCUACGGGGGGCAGCAGUGAGGAAUAUUGGGCAAUGGGCGAAAGCCUGACCCAGCAACGCCGCGUGGAGGAUGAAGGCCUUCGGGUCGUAAACUCCUUUUACAGGGGAAGAGUGAGGACGGUACCCUGAGAAUAAGUCACGGCUAACUACGUG
rnacentral:rRNA from 1 species